rnacentral:rRNA from 1 species
UACGUAGGGUCCGAGCGUUGUCCGGAAUUAUUGGGCGUAAAGAGCUCGUAGGCGGUUUGUCGCGUCUGCUGUGAAAUCCCGAGGCUCAACCUCGGGUCUGCAGUGGGUACGGGCAGACUGGAGUGCGGUAGGGGAGAAUGGAAUUCCUGGUGUAGCGGUGGAAUGCGCAGAGUAUCAGGAGGAACACCGAUGGCGAAGGCGGGUCUCGUGGGCCGAUACUGACGCUGAGGAGCGAAAGCGUGGGAGCGAACAGG